GCUGCUGCUCCUCUGUUUGCUUCACAACUACAUCAUAUUCUAGCCUUGAAAACCUUCUGGAUAUUGACUUCUUUUAUGGAUUUAAAGGAACACUGCUUCAGAUUGACAACACAGGUGGCAAACCUAACAAAUUGCCCCAGGUAUUAUGAUGAACCAGGAUAUUUUGUGGCCGAGUAUCUCUAGAGAGCAAUCAGCAGGAAAUCCAGCCAACCAGGUCAUAUUUGUCUCUGAUUCUCCCAAGUUACUGAUAUUCCAUACUCCUAAAUGAUCCCACUUGAGUGGUCUUGGAUGCCUGCAUAGUUCAGUGGCAUGAAGUGAAAACAAGGAAUACCCCAGGUUCAACAUUGGCUUCAAAGGGAGGAGUAUUUGUUUCCCUCUGAUGGGCUUACACUGCUUUUCUGGAUGGAAUUGAGACAGAACAGCAACUCUGUUAGACUCUGGGUAAAUUGCUUUAGGCUGACAGAUUCUUUCAUUCUUUGAUAUUAAGAAUUCAUCUCAAUAAUGUUAGCGUGUUACCUUUGAGUUAUAGAAAGUUAUGAAACAACAGAAAAGAAGAUAUCGCUUCCAAGAAAACAGAGAGUUGCAGAGUUGUAUCAGAAGGAAUAUUCAAAUCAGCUAUGUCUGAGCCUAUACAAAUGGAGAAGUCCAUUACAGGAGUUGAAGAUAUCACAGAAGGGUGAAUUAAGGGGAGGACUGGUGGCUUGCUUCCAAAAAGAUGACGCUGAACAACAGGCAGACCAUCAGAUAAUUUGUAAAUGAAAUAACCUUGUAUUACUCUUUAAUUAGAACAAUCCUCCACUCCAAUAAAUGUUGCCACUCUGUGCAGCACCAGAGAUCCCCCUCACACUUUCCAUAUUCCAAAAAAAGCAGCCCAACAAACCUGUUCUCUGGCUGCCUGGAGUCAGUGCAGUGCAGACAGGCACAGUGAGAACUUACUGAGUGACUAUUCCUUGUGCCUUGCUGGUGGUGGAAUUCACAGAGCAAAAGUCAAACAAUCUUCCCACAGUAUUGCAACCAGUUUAUGAAAAUAUCAUGUAAGAGUUGUCAGCUUCAUACUCCCUAAACAAAGAUAUCCUACUUUUCCUUUUUUUUUUUUUUUUUUUUUUAACCUUGUUUUCAAUUUCUCCUUGGUACCAUAAAGUAGAAUUAUGGGACAUUCCCAAUUUGAACCUCAAAUUAUAGCAUGAAGCCUUUACCCAAACUAAUCCUCAGGACUUUAACAUGAACCUAUUUAAAUAAAGACUUGUCCAGACACUGGCAACCACGGAGGCUGUUAAAUAAAACUAGAUAGAUGGAUGUUCAGGAGUGGAAUUUGGCUUCAAACAUUGACAAAUCAUCCAGUACCCACACUGAGAAGCAAGAUGACCUCUCAUCUCCAGGCACUUGGUGACAUGAGAUUGUACAGGAGCUACCACUCUGUUCACUAAGUAUGGCACACUCUGAUGCAACCAGAGCAAUAAAAUGCAGCAGAGCAAUAAAGAAAAAAAACUUGUUUUGAUAACACCUCCUCAGCAGGACACCUGAGCACUCAGCAAACAUCUGUCUUUACACGAGGAUGCUUUUGAAAUUACCUUUGAGCACCACAGAGUGAGCUGUUUGUGCCUCCCACUCUGAGCAGGAAGGGGAGAAGGGAGGCUCAGUGCAGCCCUGGAGAGCAAAGCUGACUGAAUAAAGUCAGAGAGGUCUUUCUUGUCAGACAGAUUGUACAGGAGUGCUCUCUGCCCCAGCCACAGGAAGGAGGGAGGAAGAAUUUGCCCAGGAGCAUUGCCAUCUCUUGCACACAAGUCUGCAGCCCAGGAAAAGCUCUGCUGUUUCCAACCUUGGAGUUUUCCAAAAUGUAUCUGGGUGCAGCCCUAGGUAACCUGGUCUCACCUGAAAGCUGACUCUGCUUUGAACAGGAGCUGUGAUUAGAGACCUCCUGAAGCCCACCCCAGUCUGAAUUAUCUGAUGAUUCCCAGUGCAGCUGCACCAUAACUGUGCCCAGGCACAAAUACAGAAUUUUCCUCGUAGCUCUCAUUUAAAAAGAAGCUGGAAAAAUGUGCCCAAACUAUUUGUAUAUAAAUGUGUAACAAUUUGUGAUGGAAAUGUGCUCCCUGCAGAAUUGUGCUGUAACCAUGGCAACUUCCAUUGAGAUAGACAUCCAUUGUAAAUCUAGAAGGAUCUCAUUUAGAAAAGAUUUAGUUGUACUACUCACUCUAUUUAUGAAUAUUCCAAUCAUGUAAAAAACACUCCAGUUUGUUACAGAAUUGUUUUUAAAUAGUGCAGCUGUGUGAUUAAGAAUGCUAUCAGAAGCUUUUACAUUGAACAGAUUUUGAAUUUUAUUUUAUGAUUCUUCUGCAACUUAGAUAUUUUGGAGACUGAUUUGGAAUCCUUUGCUAUAAAAUCAUUGCAGAUUUAUUUAGUCUGGCUUCUAGUAUUCCCCUCUUCUUUGCCUGAUUAUAUUGUUUCACAUCUAGACUACUGGGAAAUAUGUUUUAAAAUACUCAGCUUCUUGUAUGAGGAAAAAUCCACAAAUAAACAAAGGUUCACCCCUCUUAGUACCUUAGCUGUGAGUUCUCUUUAAAAUCCUCAGCUCUCUGCUGCCUCUCACAGAAGCAAAAUGCUUCCCUGUUUUUUCUGCCCAUCCUGUAACCUUC